AAGUCGUAACAAGGUUUCCGUAGGUGAACCUGCGGAAGGAUCAUUAACACGUAUCCAACGUUAAAAACCCGUGAACUUUCAGAUUAUUGUGGAAUGGAAAGGUCCACAUCACAUGACGUGACUUUACUUCAUCACAAGACUGUCACUGAUUACCCCGUCAACUUUUUCUUAAAACAACAAAAAUUGAACAACUGUUAACAAUGGAUAUCUUGGUUCUC
rnacentral:misc_RNA from 1 species